UCUACAGGUCGAGCAAGUCUCGUAAAUUUCACGAUUGCGAGCCACGCUUCACGCAACCGUGUUUGCGUACUUGUGUUACGAGUUGCGUGGUCGUGCGGAGUUAUAUUUACCAAAUUUAAAUAUAAUCGUUUUCAAAAUUAAAUCAAUAUGUCAAUAUGGCUACUGGGUGUAAAAGAUAAAUCUUAUUCUAUCUGUUCUUAAUGAGUUUUAGAUAAUUUUAGUUGUAUUUCUUUGUAAUUUUGUGUUGUACAAAGAUUAAUUUAACAUUUUCUCUGGAAGUAUUAAUUUAGAAAGAUAAUAUGCUUCAUUGGUGUUGUGUUUUGAAGUGUGAAAUGCAAAGCAAUUGUGAAAUGCAGUCAAGAUAAAGUUCACUUUUAAACUGAACUAAAUAAGGUAUCUGAGAGACAACAAUGGUUAAAUGCAAUACAAUGUACAGGUUUUACUAGCGAAAUGAAAAUUUUCCUGUCCUGUCUGCUGUAAUCAUUUUAUAUCUGGAAAACCAGCCGACUUAAUCGAUAAUAACAAUCUCCAGAUUGGGUUCCUUCAAUAAAUAUGGUCUAUAAACACAAUGAAAUAAGUUCCCCAAAAUCUAAAAUGGAGUGGUAUCAAAGGAGAAUUAAAGAGAAAAAUAUUCAUAUUGAAAUUAUUUAUAAGGCACUGGACUGUCUUAAAUUCUACAAUAAUACUAGAAUCAGCUGAGAGAAGUGGUCUACAAAAAACCAGGAAGGAAACGGAAUAUGUGGCUACGAAAGGCAAAAGAAAGGUUUACAAAGCAAAUGUGACACAUUUUUUUGAAAUAUUUAGGAAUAUCAGUAAAUUGCAUUAAAAAAAUGUAUGAAAAGAUUUUGUUCAAUAAAAAUGUUUAUAUUUA